rfam:Arabis alpina cultivar Pajares Aa.chr4_contig_2032, whole genome shotgun sequence.
AGGCUGUGAUGAAUGAGAUUGCUAUGCACCACUCUGAUCUAGUGCUGAUAUUCAUCUCAACCCAUAAUUUUUCUGAGCCU